UACGUAGGUGGCGAGCGUUGUCCGGAAUCAUUGGGCGUAAAGGGAGCGCAGGCGGGCGUGUAAGUCUUUCUUAAAAGUUCGGGGCUCAACCCCGUGAUGGGAAAGAAACUACAUGUCUUGAGUACAGGAGAGGAAAGCGGAAUUCCCAGUGUAGCGGUGAAAUGCGUAGAUAUUGGGAGGAACACCAGUGGCGAAGGCGGCUUUCUGGACUGCAACUGACGCUGAGGCUCGAAAGCCAGGGGAGCGAACGGG
rnacentral:rRNA from 1 species